AGUGUGAAGUAUACCCUCGGUUGUUUAUUGGUUGAUGUCAGGUAAACGGUUAACCUAUCAGGACCGGAGUGUUAUGGUAUAAAAUGGGAGGACAUUGGUUACCUAGGAUGCGUUGUCAUCCGUACCGCCCCUUUACGGGAGUCCGCCAUUUAUGAAUGGAAGGAUGUUUGGUGUGCCGUCCCUGCUCCAUGCUGCUGCGCGUAUAAGCUGCCCCCAGUUUCAGUUUGUAGAUGAACAGCUGCACGCUAUGAUCAGCAACACGCAUAGUACUGCGCGGUGAACAUCUCCUGGUUGAUUUAAAUGCCCAAGGGUUUCAUCGCUGAAUUAUGCGACGGAAUGCACGUCUAGUGAUAUAACGCACUGCUGCCUUGCCUGGGUUUCAAUCCUGUCAACUGUGUGUGUGUGUGUGUGUGUGUGUGUGUGUGUGUGUGUGUGUGUGUGUGUGUGUGUGUGUAACUGCAGGCCGGAUUAUCGCUCGCCGUGGAUUGAGUGCACAUGUGUCAAGCGAGGCCAUUUUUUGGCCGUUUUGUGCCUCGAGUGUGCGGGUGAUUGUGGUUUGGUUUGUUUCCUUUUUUGUUUCUUUUGUAUUUGUUUUGAAUUGUAAACACACUGAAUGUAAUAUUUUCUUUGUCAGUUUAAAUUUUAGUUAUUCUGUUACAAAGUGUUUUUUUUUUUUUUUUUUUUUUUUUUUUUUUUUUUUGCAGAAGGGGAGGAGUUUGGCUGCUCAUUUAAUGGUGUCCACAUUGAGUGCCGUGCUUCAUAGGUUGGAGUGAUGUGGUUUAUGGUUUAUUAAGUGUGGUGUGACAAUUAAGGGGUUGCGGCAGACCA